rnacentral:lncRNA from 1 species
AUACCCACAGAGAGACGAAAUCCAGAAGGUUCGUCAGGUAACCCAGGAAAAGCCUCGUUCUGAGGAAGAUGCUCCUAAGAGAACAAGUGAAAUAGAGACAAAGAUGUUCUUCAGGUUCUGAGAUUCAAUCCAUUAUCAUCCUGGCAGAGAGCAGGCAGCCUCUAGGCAAGAACGGCACUGGAGGAGCUCAGAGUUCUACAUCUUGUUCUGAAGGCAAACAGGAGAAGACCGUCUCCCAGGCAGCUAGGAGAAAGAGACACACUUCCUCCAACAAGGCCACACCUCCUAAUAGCGCCACUCCCUGGGCCAAGCAUAUUCAAAUCACCACACUCCUGUAAUCCCAGCAGGUGAGGGAAGGAGGAUUAGGAUUAUCUUUGUUACAUACUAUCACAAGUUCAAGGGCAGUGGGGGCUCCUUGAGACCCUGUCUCAAAAAACCCAAACCGAUCCCCUCCCCCCCAAAAAUGCUGAAGAGAAUGAAUGGGAAAGGAAGGUGAGGAGAGAACUAAUGGGGACUCACCAACACCUGGGGAGCAAUGGCAACAUAAAAGGUGGGACUGGGAAGCAUGAAUGCUGUGCUCACUUCAUCGAUGCUAUGGGCUGAAUUGUGCCCCCCCCACCCCUUUCAUACAUUGAAGCCCUUGCCCCCGUAUACCAGAAUGUAACCCUGCACCCGUUCCUUAACUCAUUAUAGCCCAAGAUAACCCACUAGUGCCUAGAAUAUAAGUGGAAAAUAGAUUAGUACACCCACCUGCUAAAACUUACAUAAUCUCAUGGCUAUCUGGGAGUUGAGAUGGGCUGUCGCUCUGUGACAUCAGAAACGAGGAUCACACCACACAUUGCUGGCUCAGGAGAUAACCCACAUUGAAGAAGUACUUUUGUCUUCUAAGUUGUGAGUAUUGAUUUUGAGCUACUGUAAAGUCAAAAAAAAAAAAAAAAAGUAAGCGGGGCCCUGAAAGUAGGAGACCAUCUGUCAUCUCCUUUCAAGAGAAGUUUAAAUGACAACUAGGCCAUUAGCUUAGGUGGGUCCUAACUGUCUGGUGGCAUUUUUAGAGGCAGAAGAAAUGGCAACAUAUAAUGCUAACAGCUGUGGGUGCACAUGGAAGAAAGACAGACCAGAAGAGGAUGUAGCCAUAAGAGGAAUGCUCACAAGUACAGGGGAGAAGCUGCAGGAGAAAUGAGAGUUACCCUCAGUGUUGGCUGUCUAGUUACCAAGGCUUAUUCGGUCUUGGAGUUUACACCAGAAG